ACACCAAGCCCAGGGGGCCUGAGGGGUGAUAAUGACGCUCGAACAGGCAUGAGUAACGGCGAGUGAAGCGGCAACAGCUCAAAUUUGAAAUCUGGCCCUCUCAGGGUCCGAGUUGUAAUUUGGAGAGGAUGCUUCGGGUGUGGCCCCGGUCUAAGUUCCUUGGAACAGGACGUCACAGAGGGUGAGAAUCCCGUACGUGCCCGGUGGCCGCCCCCGUGUGAAGCUCCUUCGACGAGUCGAGUUGUUUGGGA
rnacentral:rRNA from 1 species